rnacentral:lncRNA from 1 species
ACAUUGAUCCGAUUUGGUAUGGGGUGUAUCGAAUAGUUCGGUCCGAUAUAAAAUUUCAUGGCUUGGACCAAUCCCGAUAUGAGUUCUUCUUGCAUCAUCAUUAAUGACUAGAUAGAUAAUUGCAAUGGAACCUUCAAUUAUUUUAGAUUGGAAUCCAUCUUAUUAGCAUUCUUACAAUAAAAGAUCAGAUAUAGUAAUCCAACUUUUCAUAAUAAUUUUGCCUUUUUGUUAAUAUCAUGUUGAUGCCUUUCAAUGAGG